GCAACGGCGGCUUUUCAGGCCGUAGGUCUUGGAGAAAAGCCAAGCAGGAACU
rnacentral:tRNA from 2 species